rnacentral:rRNA from 1 species
UAGGGAAUCUUCCACAAUGGACGCAAGUCUGAUGGAGCAACGCCGCGUGAGUGAAGAAGGUCUUCGGAUCGUAAAGCUCUGUUGUUGGUGAAGAAGGAUAGAGGCAGUAACUGGUCUUUAUUUGACGGUAAUCAACCAGAAAGUCACGGCUAACUACGUGCCAGCAGCCGCGGUAAUACGUAGGUGGCAAGCGUUGUCCGGAUUUAUUGGGCGUAAAGCGAGCGCAGGCGGAAUGAUAGGUCUGAUGUGAAAGCCCACGGCUCAACCGUGGAACUGCAUCGGAAACUGUCAUUCUUGAGUGCAGAAGAGGAGAGUGGAACUCCAUGUGUAGCGGUGGAAUGCGUAGAUAUAUGGAAGAACACCAGUGGCGAAGGCGGCUCUCUGGUCUGCAACUGACGCUGAGGCUCGAAAGCAUGGGUAGCGAACAGGAUUAGAUACCCUGGUAGUCCAUGCCGUAAACGAUGAGCGCUAGGUGUUGGGGACUUUCCGGUCCUCAGUGC